AUACGUAGGUGGCAAGCGUUGUCCGGAAUUAUUGGGCGUAAAGCGCGCGCAGGUGGUUCCUUAAGUCUGAUGUGAAAGCCCCCGGCUCAACCGGGGAGGGUCAUUGGAAACUGGGGAACUUGAGUGCAGAAGAGGAUAGUGGAAUUCCAAGUGUAGCGGUGAAAUGCGUAGAGAUUUGGAGGAACACCAGUGGCGAAGGCGACUGUCUGGUCUGUAACUGACACUGAUGCGCGAAAGCGUGGGGAGCAAACAGGAUUAGAUACCCUGGUAGUCCACGCCGUAAACGAUGAGUGCUAAGUGUUGGGGGGUUUCCGCCCCUCAGUGCUGCAGCUAACGCAUUAAGCACUCCGCCUGGGGAGUACGGUCGCAAGACUGAAACUCAAAGGAAUUGACGGGG
rnacentral:rRNA from 1 species